rnacentral:snRNA from 1 species
GUGCUUAUGUUGGCAGCGCAUAUACUAAAAUUGGAAAAAUAUAGAGAAGGUUAGCAUGGCCCCAUGCAAGGAUGACAUGCACAUUUGUGAAACAUUUCAUAUUUUU